GUUAUUUGGUUUCAAUAUUAUUGAAUUAAAUGGGAAUUUGGUUUAAAUCCAAAACUGUUCCCGCAACUGUAAUCUUAGUUCAUUUAUGAAACUCUAUAAAACUCAAUACCACUGUCGCUUAUGAUGGGAAGGUAUUAUAGAGAGAAAGUCAGGAUACCAGCCAUUUAAUAA
rnacentral:ncRNA from 1 species